rnacentral:tRNA from 1 species
GCCGGGUUGAUGGAACUGGUAUACAUAGCGCUCUCAAAAGGCGCCGUCCUAAGGACAUGGGGGUUCGAAUCCCCCACCCGGCA